rnacentral:rRNA from 1 species
GAUGAACGCUGGCGGCGUGCCUAACACAUGCAAGUCGAGCGGCAGCGAGGGGUGCUUGCACCCUGUCGGCGAGCGGCGGACGGCUGAGUAACGCGUGGGAACGUGCCCCAAAGUGAGGAAUAACUGCCCGAAAGGGUAGCUAAUACCGCAUAUUAUCUUCGGAUCAAAGGAUUUAUCCGCUUUGGGAGCGGCUCGCGUCGGAUUAGGUAGUUGGUGAGGUACUGGCUCACCAAGCCGACGAUGCGUAGCCGGUCUGAGAGGAUGACCAGCCACACUGGAACUGAGAGACGGUGCAGACUCCUACGGGAGGCAGAAGUAGGGAAUCUUCCGCAAUGGGCGAAAGCCUGACGGAGCAACGCAGCGUGAGUGAUGAAGGUGUUCGGAUAGUAGAAAUAUGUUAUUAGGGAAGAACAAAUGUGUAAGUAACUAUGCACGUCUUGACGGUACCUAAUAAGAAAGCCACGGCUAACUACGUG